GGAUAAUAGAGUGAGUGUCACCUCUGUACUAGGAGGAAAAUCUGACCAGCACCGAAUCAGGGAUGGCCCACUGUCUAGGCUGUUGCAGAGGGGAUGCUGGUGGAGAAGCUGAAAGUUUUGUGCUACAUGAGACCCAUAGCUGGGGAGGCUAAUACUUCCACUGCACAGUAAUAGUUGGUGUGAUCUGGUGAGCCUUCGCUCAAAGGCGUAGUUUCACCAUUAGAUGCAGGAGGAAAGCUUGUGAUUGUUGCUGGGCUCAACGGACUAGGUACCUGUACAAUGUGGCAAAAGUGUUCUGAAUUAUAGUGCCUUCCAGGACUCUUGCACAAACGACAGCCUACCAUUGACGUGGAUGCUCUGAAACUGGAAUCGGCCGAACAUGUUGAGUUGUAACUCCUAGAAUGCAAAUUGAUCGAUGCCUUGCAACAUUGAAGUCCUGUGCUGAGCAUGGCAGUUUGUAUUCAAAUCUUUCAACACUAUUCUUGAGAGCCAAAGGAGCUUGCAUUUGAA